UCACACUGUACCUGAGCACUUUACUCCACGCAGCGACCACCCACGCUGGGAUCCAGUUAGCGGAGAGAGAGAGAGAAGGAGGCUGAAGCAGUUCUUCUAUCCCACUGCCGCUGCACACCUUAUCCUUAUUAGAGUUUCAGCUUCUUUCUCUUCCCUACCACACCAUCAUCAUAUUCACAAUCACAUUCUCUUUCCAAGCCAAUUAGAUCAUGAACCUGCUCUCUUCUGCUUGCUAAGGAGGUGAAAUCGAGCUCAAAGGAGUGGACGAGGCGGCACUUUGCUACUAAGAGACAGAAAGAAAGUGAAACAGAGAUACCAAUCAUGGCUCAAGACCAAGGGGCAGUGGGCAUAUCCGACCCAAAUGACGAUUCUCCCAACAUGAUUGUUUACAGGAAGAUUGAGGAUAUCAUCACACACCUCCAAGACGAGGCUGAAGGUGUGCCUGUCAGAACGGUCAAAAGCUUCCUGUCUAAGAUUCCCAGUGUUGUUACAGGUUCAGACAUUGUUCAGUGGUUGAUGAAGAAUCUCAGCAUAGAAGAUCCUGGGGAGGCCAUACACAUUGGCAGUCUGAUCGCUGCUCAAGGCUACAUCUUCCCAAUCUCUGAUCAUGUUCUCACCCUAAAGGAUGAUGGCACAUUUUACCGCUUUCAGGCACCAUACUUUUGGCCAUCUAAUUGCUGGGAGCCAGAGAACACAGACUAUGCCAUCUAUCUGUGCAAGCGGACCAUGCAGAACAAGACCCGGCUGGAGCUGGCAGACUAUGAGGCAGAGAAUCUAGCAAGGCUGCAGAGGGCUUUUGCCAGGAAGUGGGAGUUCAUCUUCAUGCAGGCUGAGGCACAGGUCAAGAUUGACAGGAAAAAAGACAAGACAGAGAGAAAGAUUCUGGACAGUCAGGAGAGAGCCUUCUGGGAUGUUCAUCGACCUGCGCCAGGGUGUGUCAACACCACGGAGAUGGACAUCAGGAAGUGUCGCCGCCUGAAGAAUCCUCAAAGAGUGAAAAAGUCAGUGUAUGGUGUAAUGGAUGACACACAGACACAGAGUCCUUUGCACACACCCUCACAACAGAGCAACAAGGACACCAAAGAGGGUGUAGAGAAAGAGAUUCUGUUCUUGAACAGUCAGUUGGAUCGACACUGUAUGAAAAUGUCCAAAGUUGCUGAGACAUUAAUGACCUACACAGAGCAGUAUCUUGACUACGACCCCUUUGUGUCAAUACCAGAGCCAUCGAAUCCCUGGAUCGGUGAUGAUAUCACUCUCUGGGAGCUAGAGGCCAGUAAGGAGCCUAGUCAACAGCGAGUAAAGAAGUGGGGUUUCUCAUUGGAUGAGGCUUUAAAGGACCCAGUGGGGCGUGAGCAGUUCCUUAAAUUCUUGGAGUCUGAAUUCAGCUCAGAGAACCUCCUGUUCUGGUUGGCCGUGCAAGAUCUGAAGUCCCGCCCCCUGCUGGAAGUGGCAAUUUGUGCUCAGGAGAUCUGGCAGGAGUUUCUUGCUGAGGGAGCUCCCAGUGCCAUCAAUCUCGACUCCCACAGCUAUGAGCGCACCAGUCAGAAUCUAAAAGACCCUGGCCGCUAUAGCUUUGAAGAUGCCCAGGACCACAUCUACAAGCUGAUGAAGAGUGACAGCUACCCUCGUUUCCUGCGCUCCAGUGCUUACCAGGACCUCCUGUUGGCUAAAAAGAAGUGCUCAAUGUGGGCUGUACGCACCGGCACGCCUUUUAGCACUGAUGGUUGUAAAGCCCUGAAGGAUGAGUUGAAAAAAAAGGUUCUGCUGGGAGCUUAUUCUUAAUCAGUUCUUGACAGUAUUUAAAUUCUCAAUUUAUUUUUGACUGUAAAAAAGCAGUGAUUUCCUCUUCUUUAUCCUCAACCAGUGGGCAACUUUAUUUUCAAAUGAGUGUUGAAUUGCACUCUUUUUAACAUACUAAGCUAACAAUUCGGCUAAUCUUGAAUUCUGUGCUCGCCACCAAAUACUUAUUCAACCAAUUUAAUUUUAAGGACUACAUGAGAGCACCAUUUAAUCUUUACAGUUUGAUUGUGCCUUGGCUUCAUUGCUCUUAUACUAGAUUAACAUUAAUUGUCUGCUAAAUGUUUUUGUGUUAGACCUCAUGCAUGUUUCCCUACUAACACACAUGUUGUGCACUGUAUCUUCCCCUGUUCUCUUCCAAUAACUGCGGCUUCACAGCCUGAGACUGACCAAGGCCGACGCACCUCCCUGGAGAAAUUCACUCGCAGUGUGGGCAAGUCUCUGACAAGUAAACGACUGACGGGCCUCAUGCAGUCCUCCUGACGAGUCCCAUGUUUUGAGAAGUCCAGUUCCAUCCAGAGAAACUGCGGUUUGUUGGGGUGGAAGCAUUGUGGCUAUGAUGGGCCAUGUGUAUGGACCAGCCUCUCUCCAAAACCCACCCAAACAUCGCACAGCUACAGAGUGUAGAUGGCAGCAUGCAAUAAGUCCAAUUGAAUCUCCAAACACCAACAGUGUUGUCUGUGUUUAUUAAAUCAGUGACUACAAUGACUGAAUACAUGGAUGUCAGAUUUCCCUGUACCAUCCAGAGCAACAUAAGUUUAUUUGAUACUUAUACCCAGACUGCGGCGAGUAUGGAACUGAUCGCUCACCACUGGAUUUCCAUUUAAAAUUACAUCAAUUCAGCCCUUUCAUUCUCAGUUUGGAAAACAUAAUGUGUGAUGAGAAGGGAUGCAGUAGGCAAUGUCAAGAACAUGUCAACGACAAGCGUUGGAAGAAGAGGGGAUACGUCUUAAACCUUCAGAGUUUUCAAAGGAGAAAAUGAAAAAGGGCUUGCACUGUCUGUGUUCCCUCGAUUGAGGUUUGGACAGAACAUUUAAUACUCUCUCGUCACAUAUGUAUUUAAAUGGUGGUUAAAUAUGGAGUAUGAAUGUGGAAGUGAGGGGUCCCGCACAGCUCAGUGUUAUUUGAAUACUUUAAUGACUUCCUGCCAUUUUGGAGACUAUACUCUGUUGAUGGAAAAUAAUUUAAUCUGUGUUUACAGGCCAUGUUAUACUCUACUAUUAGCAUAUGAUGUAAGACUUCUAUCGGAGAUGUGAGCAACAGCUUUUAGACUCAGUUUUAUUGAAGGAUUAAAGAAGUAGUCACAUAUUUUAUACCAGGAUGAUUCAUAUAGACAGCACAGAAAAUUCCUGCACCAGUGAGAAAUAUGGGAUGGCAGAGAUUUACAUUUAAUGCAUUUGGCAACCACUUAAAUCCAAAGCGACUUUCUGUGCAUUCAAGCUGAUCGGGAUGCAUGUUACUUGGGAUUCAAACUCACAACCUUAUCUAAGCUAAUGCUAUGGUCAGUGUGUUUCAGCUUUACAGCAAAUGUUUGACCAAACAAUCAUCAAACGAAUAUUCUCAUUAUGUAUGUUUCAAACAAAUGCAUAUAGUAGGUCCUUGUUUGUCUUGCUGGCCUGCUUCAAUGAAUGGUAUUGUAAAUCCAUCUUAGAAUUUAAGCACCUAGUUGCUUAGAGUCAGUGUAGUGAUCACUGUGUUUAUGAUGAUGUUGGAUGAUCAUGACGAUGAUGGCCCUUUGCUCUGAGCACAAAGAUAAGGUGAACACAGCUCUUCACUCAUCACAAUUGAGUGGACAACACCAGUUCACAAAAUUCUAAUCAAUGUGAAAGAUUUUCUCAUAGCUGGACAUUCUGAAGAAAGCACAUAUUUACCAAACAACAACUCUCUCCAUCACCUCUGGACAUUCUCCAUUGCAACCCCAGUGGAGGUUUUUUGCUGACAUUAUUUCUUGAAGCACCAUCACUGCUAGUGAUACUUAAGACUUUAACAAGCUGCUGUAACUUUGAACACAUGGAUUGUCUCUGCUAUCGUUAGCCCACGAAUUUCUGCUGACAGUAUGGCAGAACAGAAAAGUGCGUGGUUGCUAUGGCGCAUCCCCUCUUCAUAUAUUCAGGUAGAAAUGGUUUGUUGACUCGUAACAGCGUGUUAGGUUGAAAUGGAAUGUGUAGACUCUGCAGCUAUUCUGUAUAUAGAAGAUGCUGUGUAGAAUAUUGAAAUGUGAUUAUAACUUAGCGGUGCAAGUGCCAUAUUCAGCACAAAACUAUGCAUGGAAGAGUUUUACUACUUUUAGUUUUUUCAAUGACAAAGAUGAUGAUCAGUAGGUCAACAUAAUGGAAAGGAGGACCUGAAGUCCUGAGUCAUUCAAUAAACAUUCAGUUUGGAGAGCUUUGGAAAAGCUUGAAUUUUUCUCUGCAUAGCUAUUCAAAGUCUUUUAUGUGUUCUGUGUAAUUAAAGCAAACAUUUAUUGCUUUAAUAAAAUGAAAGCAACAGCUCAAUUAUAACCCUAAGCAGUUUGGCUGGUUAGCUGGUCAUCAAGGCUGGUUUUAGAUGGGGUUUGUGCACUGGUCAGGAGACCUAGGAGACCAGCUUAAACUAGCUAUGACCAGCCAACUAGCUUAUAUGAUAAUUUUAGCUUUCUUUUCAGCAGGGAAAAGAUGCCCUUGUUCAAUAAAUGUUUAAAGGUAUUAUUAAUAGUAAUAAAACACAAUUCAUGCACAAUUUUCCUGCCAAAUAUAGUUCACUUUCCUAACUGUUUGAGUUACCAGUUGUCAAGCAACAUGCACAGUAUCAACCAGCGGUUACGUGCAUUGAACACCGCACAUCUAGAAAUCAGAAAUGUGUAAGUAGCUAGCCAUCAAUUCAUAAUUUCACACACAGGUUUGAGUUCAAUAAAGCCGCCAUUUAGGCAGUUUAUAAAAAAAUUACCAAUAUCAGAGUUAAAUGAAUAGUUCACCCAAAAAUGAUAAUUCUCUAAUCAUUUACUCACCCUCAUGUUAUCCAAGAUGUGUAUGACUUACUUUCUUCUGCUGAAUCAAAACAAGGAUUUUUAGUAGAAUAUCUCAGCUCUAGGUCCUUACAAUGCAAGUAAAUGGGUAUCAAAAUGUUGAAGUUCCAAACGCAUAUUAAGGCAGCAUAAAAAUCCACACGACUCCAGUAGUUUAAUCCAUGUAUUCAGAAGCGAUAUGAUAAGUGUGGCUGAGACCAGAUCAAUAUUUAAAUUAUUUUUUACUAUCAAUCUUCUCUUCCACUUUCACAAUUCUCACAUUCUUCAUGCAUAAUGCAGGGAGCAGAAUUUAUAUUAAAAAAAUGACUUUUUAAUGACGUUUUUAUCUGUUUUACUUUUAUGCUGCCUUUUAUGUGCUUUUUUUUUAAGCUUCCAAAUUUGUGUACACAUUUACUUGCAUUGUAAGGACCUAGAGCUGUUAUAUUCUUAUAAAAACGUUGUUUUCAGUAGAAG